rnacentral:rRNA from 1 species
UACGUAGGGGCAAGCGUUGUCCGGAUUUAUUGGGCGUAAAGCGCUCGCAGGUGGUUCGUUGCGUCGUGCGUGAAAGACCCCGGCUCAACUGGGGGGUGUCGUGCGAUACGGGCGAACUGGAGGCCAGUAGGGGGAUGCGGAAUUCCGGGUGUAGUGGUGGAAUGCGUAGAGAUCCGGAGGAACACCAGCGGCGAAGGCGGCAUCCUGGACUGGUCCUGACACUCAGGAGCGAAAGCGUGGGGAGCGAUCCGG